UUUGUGGAGGGUUCGAUUCUGGCUCAGGAUGAACGCUGGCGGCGUGCUUAACACAUGCAAGUCGAACGGGAUCCUGGCAGCUUGCUGUCGGGUGAGAGUGGCGAACGGGUGAGUAAUGCGUGACCGACCUGCCCCGUACUCCGGAAUAGCUCCUGGAAACGGGUGGUAAUGCCGGAUGCUCCAGUUGAUCGCAUGGUCUUCUGGGAAAGGGUUUUACUGGUAUGGGAUGGGGUCGCGUCCUAUCAGCUUGUUGGUGUGGUGAUGGCGCACCAAGGCUUCGACGGGUAGCCGGCCUGAGAGGGCGACCGGCCACAUUGGGACUGAGAUACGGCCCAGACUCCUACGGGAGGCAGCAGUGGGGAAUAUUGCACAAUGGGCGCAAGCCUGAUGCAGCGACGCCGCGUGCGGGAUGACGGCCUUCGGGUUGUAAACCGCUUUUGGCAGGGAGCAAGGCGUUUUUCGUUGAGUGUACCUGUCGAAUAAGCACCGGCUAACUACGUGCCAGCAGCCGCGGUAAUACGUAGGGUGCAAGCGUUAUCCGGAAUUAUUGGGCGUAAAGGGCUCGUAGGCGGUUCGUCGCGUCCGGUGUGAAAGCCCAUCGCUUAACGGUGGGUCUGCGCCGGGUACGGGCGGGCUGGAGUGCGGUAGGGGAGACUGGAAUUCCCGGUGUAACGGUGGAAUGUGUAGAUAUCGGGAGGAACACCAAUGGCGAAGGCAGGUCUCUGGGCCGUUACUGACGCUGAGGAGCGAAAGCGUGGGGAGCGAACAGGAUUAGAUACCCUGGUAGUCCACGCCGUAAACGGUGGAUGCUGGAUGUGGGGCCCUUUCCACGGGUCCCGUGUCGGAGCCAACGCGUUAAGCAUCCCGCCUGGGGAGUACGGCCGCAAGGCUAAAACUCAAAGAAAUUGACGGGG
rfam:Bifidobacterium stellenboschense strain DSM 23968 Contig01, whole genome shotgun sequence.